rfam:Trichobilharzia regenti genome assembly, scaffold: TRE_scaffold0004469
GUACUACUGAAGAGUCGCAAACUAGGACGAAACAGCUGUCCAGUAC